AUACGGAGGGGGCUAGCGUUGUUCGGAAUUACUGGGCGUAAAGCGCGCGUAGGCGGCAUGGCAAGUUGGGCGUGAAAGCCCGGGGCUCAACCCCGGAUGUGCGCCCAAAACUACCAAGCUAGAGGCCGAGAGAGGGUGGCGGAAUUCCCAGUGUAGAGGUGAAAUUCGUAGAUAUUGGGAAGAAUACCAGUGGCGAAGGCGGCUUCCUGGCCCAAAACUGACGCUGAGGUGCGAAAGCGUGGGUAGCAAACGGUAGUAGAUACCCCAGUAGUCC
rnacentral:rRNA from 1 species